rnacentral:rRNA from 1 species
GUCCACGCCCUAAACGAUGAUAACUCGAUGUUGGCGAUACACAGUCAGCGUCUAAGCGAAAGCAUUAAGUUAUCCACCUGGGAAGUACGACCGCAAGGUUGAAACUCAAAGGAAUUGACGGGGGCCCCGCACAAGCGGAGGAGCAUGUGGUUUAAUUCGAUGAUACGCGAGGAACCUUACCUGGGCUUGAAAGUUAGUGACAGUCCCUGAAAGGGGAUCUUCCGCAAGGACACGAAACUAGGUGCUGCAUGGCUGUCGU